GAGGGUAGAGCUCAGUGGUGGAGCUCGUGCUUAGCAGGCAUGAAGUCCUGGGUUCAAACCCCAGUACCUUCA
rnacentral:tRNA from 1 species